rnacentral:rRNA from 1 species
AUGGUCCUGGUUCGCUAUGGCGUUCUCUUCCUCAUCGAGCACCCGCUCCCUCCCAAUGCCAAUGCCUCCUACCAUGAGCUUGAUGCCCAUGUCGCCGUUUGGAUCUACGCUACUCUUGCGGAUCCCAUGGUCGAGCACGUCGUCGGCGCCACCACCACCUACGCCCUCUGGAAGAAGAUCCGCGAUUUCUUUCUCGCCAAUCGAGCUGCCCGGUUCAUGAUCCUCAACCGGCAGUAUCGUAAUCUCAAGCAGGGUGACCUCCCCGUGGCCAAGUAUGCGCGCCGCAUGAAGCUCCUCACCGACGGCCUCGCGGACAUCAACCACGCCGUCACGGAAAUUGACCUCACCACCCAGUUUCUCCACGGCCUCGACAAGCGGCUUGACACCAUCUGAGUUGUCCUUGGUGACCACCAGGGCCUCCCGUUCGACACCGUCCUCUCACGGGUGGUCCUGGCUGAGGAGUCCCAGGCGCAACGCGCCGCCGAAGAGAGCGCCUCCGCCUUCGCUCUUUCCGGCGGCGACCGCGGCUCCACCAGCAGAUCUGGCACCGUCCCAUGCGGCUCUGCUGAUCGCGGCCCGGGCAGCUCCUCCUUCGAAAGGCCGCCCUCCGCCCGCGCCCAGGCCCCUCCUCCCCAGCAGCCGUCCUCUGAUCGCGGUCGCGGUGACCGUGGUCGCGGACGCGGGCGUGGUCGCGGACGCGGGCGUGGUCGCGGCCGUGGGCGCUGUGACUCCUCUGGGCGCGGCCAACCGGCGCCCAUGUUCUCGCCGUUCACCGGGUAUUUCGCCCCGUAUGGCAUGGCCCUCCCACCGCCGCGCUCUGGUUGGGUCCCUCCCAAUGCCGCCGGCGUCCUUGGGCCCCGUCUGGGCGCUCAUGCUCAUGCCUACACCAUGUACCAGCCGACGCCUCCACCGCCGCACUACCCACCCUAG